rnacentral:rRNA from 1 species
CCUACGGGAGGCAGCAGUGGGGAAUAUUGGACAAUGGGGGGAACCCUGAUCCAGCCAUGCCGCGUGUGUGAAGAAGGCCCUCGGGUUGUAAAGCACUUUCAGUGAGGAAGAACGCCUGAAGGUUAAUACCCAUCAGGAAAGACAUCACUCACAGAAGAAGCACCGGCUAACUCCGUGCCAGCAGCCGCGGUAAUACGGAGGGUGCGAGCGUUAAUCGGAAUUACUGGGCGUAAAGCGCGCGUAGGUGGCUUGAUAAGCCGGUUGUGAAAGCCCCGGGCUCAACCUGGGAACGGCAUCCGGAACUGUCAAGCUAGAGUGCAGGAGAGGAAGGUAGAAUUCCCGGUGUAGCGGUGAAAUGCGUAGAGAUCGGGAGGAAUACCAGUGGCGAAGGCGGCCUUCUGGACUGACACUGACACUGAGGUGCGAAAGCGUGGGUAGCAAACAGGAUUAGAUACCCCGGUAGUC